GAAAAGAUUUAUCGGUGUGAGAUGGACCCGCGUUGGAUUAGCUAGUUGGCAGGGUAACGGCCUACCAAGGCGACGAUCCAUAGCCGGCCUGAGAGGGUGAACGGCCACAUUGGGACUGAGACACGGCCCAAACUCCUACGGGAGGCAGCAGUGGGGAAUAUUGCACAAUGGGGGAAACCCUGACGCAGCGACGCCGCGUGAGUGAAGAAGUAUUUCGGUAUGUAAAGCUCUAUCAGCAGGGAAGAAAAUGACGGUACCUGACUAAGAAGCCCCGGCUAACUACGUGCCAGCAGCCGCGGUAAUACGUAGGGGGCAAGCGUUAUCCGGAUUUACUGGGUGUAAAGGGAGCGUAGACGGCUAAGCAAGUCAGAAGUGAAAGGCUGGGGCUCAACCCCGGGACUGCUUUUGAAACUGUUUGGCUAGAGUGCUGGAGAGGUAAGCGGAAUUCCUAGUGUAGCGGUGAAAUGCGUAGAUAUUAGGAGGAACACCAGUGGCGAAGGCGGCUUACUGGACAGUAACUGACGUUGAGGCUCGAAAGCGUGGGGAGCAAACAGGAUUAGAUACCCUGGUAGUCCACGCCGUAAAC
rnacentral:rRNA from 1 species